UACGAGGGGAGCAAGCGUUGUUCGGAUUUACUGGGCGUAAAGGGCGCGUAGGCGGUCGUGACAAGUCACUUGUGAAAUCUCCGGGCUUAACUCGGAACGGUCAAGUGAUACUGUCGGACUAGAGUACAGAAGGGGCAACUGGAAUUCUCGGUGUAGCGGUGAAAUGCGUAGAUAUCGAGAGGAACACCUGCGGCGAAGGCGGGUUGCUGGGCUGAUACUGACGCUGAGGCGCGAAAGCCAGGGGAGCGAACGGG
rnacentral:rRNA from 1 species